GCUGCCACUCCAUGAAAUAUGUCAAUAAAAUCCCACAAGGUCCUUCAUUAACACGAAUAUCAACACCCUUUAUAUACCCAACAAAGACUGGCCGAGUCUCAAAUCUCUCUCUAUCUUUUGCAGGAGGGUCCCGCAAUGGUGUGUGUUGGCCAAUGCCAUGAAUGAGAGGUGUUUUUUUUUUUUGGCGGGAGGAAGCCGGAGCACCCAUUGUAUCGCUCAAAUAUAGAUUCAAGAAUCCACUGCUCCAUUGCGAUCUUCCGGCCACCUCGCAUCCCAAGCCCAACAUCACCCGAUCUGCAACUCGACACGGCUGCAUCGACAAGGAGAGAAAGUGAUGACGCGCAGCAUCAUCAUUCAUUAAGCCAACCGUGUGCAUCGCAGGUUGCGGCAGAGUGCGGAGACCCCCAUUCAUGCUGCUGGGUGGACAGAAUUUGGGGUGACGAACAAGACGCGAUCUCAUUACUUGGACUGCCACGCAUGGACAUUGACCCAGCGACCUGCGGAUUGCAAGUCCAGCGCGCUUAUCCAUGACGCCACCACCACCACGGCGUCCCUCAUCCAGGAUUGUGCGGUGUGGAAGCUCCAAAGUGCACAAUCAGCUGGGGACUGACCUGGCUAAAGAGAACAAAAAAACAUCGCACACAGCAGAACAGGUAUCCACGGUAACAAAUACAAACGCGGAAUCAAGAAUCAUAACCAACAGCACACGUCGGAAUGCUGAAUGGGCUCAGGUGCAUUCAAAAACACACAAUUAAUCGUCGUACCCGCAAAUAUCGCAUGAAUUGCUCCGGUUAUCCGUGUGUCCCUCACGCACACUUUGCUACAACUUGUUCAUUAUAUGACGAUUACAUUACGUAAUUGUAUGCUCUCGUUUAUGAUGGGGCGACAAUCACAUUCGCUUUUCUUUAUUCUCCAAAUGGGGAGAAAGAGGGAGAGAGAAGAGAGAGAUAAGUAAUAAAAAGCCGCAUGAAGCCAGUCGGUACAAAGUGCAUGGCAUGAAUGUAACAUAUAAAUAAAUAAAUAACGCCUCUAGCUGCCUUCAAAGAUGCACGGAAAGAAUCAGAAAGAGCAGAGCCAAGAAAUAGAUUGAUUGAGAGUCAGUGAAGCACGUGAAAUGGGGGAGCUUUACAUUAAGCCAACUUUAAACAGGCCCGCUUCUGAGAAUCAAUUUCAAUUCCAUCCAUUAUACGUGUGCAUCAAGGCACAAUCUGUGACUUCCUAUGCAAGACCUUCGUGGAAAUCAUUUUCUGAUGAAAAUAGAUUCGUUCGGGUUAUAUGCAUUGGAAAUCCAAAACCAUCUGUACAUUUCACCCCUUUUAAACUGGCAUAGCUGGAAAAUAAAUGUCUCCGAAGAGUUUUUAAUGCACUGCAGUGUACACACAAUUUGACUGCCUCCAUAAUGUUUUUGGAGGUGAAUUGUAAUUUGUAUUCUGUCCCGUAAAAUUUGGUUGCGAAAUUCCGUUGACUUUGAGGGAUUGCG